CCAAUAGCGUAUAUUAAAGUUGUUGCAGUUAAAAAGCUCGUAGUUGAAUUUCGGGAUUGACGUGAUGGUCAUGCCUUAAGGGGUAUGAACUGUUACAGUUGAUUUCUCACCUUCUGGAGAAACUUGAUGUCCUUAAUUGGGUGUCAUAUGGAACCAGAACUUUUACCUUGAAAAAAUUAGAGUGUUUAAAGCAAGCUUAUUGCUCGAAUACAUUAGCAUGGAAUAAUAAAAUAGGACGGCAUGAUUCUAUUUUGUUGGUUUCUAGGAUCACCGUAAUGAUUAAUAGGGAUAGUUGGGGGCAUUAGUAUUCAAUUGUCAGAGGUGAAAUUCUUGGAUUUAUUGAAGACUAACUACUGCGAAAGCAUUUGCCAAGGAUGUUUUCAUUAAUCAAGAACGAAAGUUAGGGGAUCGAAGACGAUCAGAUACCGUCGUAGUCUUAACCAUAAACUAUGCCGACUAGGAAUCAGACGAUGUUAAUUUUUUAAUGACUCGUUUGGCACCUUACG
rnacentral:rRNA from 1 species